rnacentral:rRNA from 1 species
AUUGAACGCUGGCGGCAUGCCUUACACAUGCAAGUCGAACGGCAGCACGGGAGCAAUCCUGGUGGCGAGUGGCGAACGGGUGAGUAAUACAUCGGAACGUGCCCAAUCGUGGGGGAUAACGCAGCGAAAGCUGUGCUAAUACCGCAUAAGAUCUACGGAUGAAAGCAGGGGAUCGCAAGACCUUGCGCGAAUGGAGCGGCCGAUGGCAGAUUAGGUAGUUGGUGAGGUAAAGGCUCACCAAGCCUUCGAUCUGUAGCUGGUCUGAGAGGACGACCAGCCACACUGGGACUGAGACACGGCCCAGACUCCUACGGGAGGCAGCAGUGGGGAAUUUUGGACAAUGGGCGAAAGCCUGAUCCAGCCAUGCCGCGUGCAGGAUGAAGGGCCCUUUCGGGUUGUAAAACUGCUUUUGUACGG